UUAGGAAUGAAACAGGGGAGAAAACAGAGGAUUCUCAGAUGUGUCAGAGUCAGAUCCUAGUUGGAAUAAAUCAAAUUCCUUUUCUUUUCCAGGUGAUCAGAAAUGUACCCACUUGAGGAAACCUCACUGACAUUCAAACCCACAACCCAGAAACAGCAGAAUUGAAAGAUAUAGAGAGGAAUUGGAACUGGAAGUGAGGAGCUAGCAAGAGAGCAGAAAAGCUAAAGGCAGUAGCUUUAUGUGAGGGCAGUUGAAGUUUUGAAGGAGAAGUAAGCUACUGGGAAAUUAAAGGGGGAAAAGGGGAUGGUGGUGGUGGUGGUGGGAGUGUUGG
rnacentral:lncRNA from 1 species